rnacentral:rRNA from 1 species
UACGUAGGGGGGCAAGCGUUGUCCGGAUUUAUUGGGCGUAAAGAGCGUGUAGGCGGCUUGGUAGGUCCGCUGUGAAAACUCGAGGCUCAACCUCGAGAUGUCGGCGGAAACCACUUGGCUAGAGUCCGGAAGAGGAGAGUGGAAUCCGUGGUGUAGCGGUGAAAUGCGCAGAUAUCAGGAAGAACACCUAUGGCGAAGGCAGCUCUCUGGGACGGUACUGACGCUGAGACGCGAAAGCGUGGGGAGCGAACAGG